AGAGUUUGAUCANUGGCUCAGAUUGAACGCUGGCGGCAGGCCUAACACAUGCAAGUCGAGCGGUAGCACAGAGAACUUGCUCUCGGGUGACGAGCGGCGGACGGGUGAGUAAUGUCUGGGAAACUGCCUGAUGGAGGGGGAUAACUACUGGAAACGGUAGCUAAUACCGCAUAACGUCGCAAGACCAAAGUGGGGGACCUUCGGGCCUCAUGCCAUCAGAUGUGCCCAGAUGGGAUUAGCUAGUAGGUGGGGUAAUGGCUCACCUAGGCGACGAUCCCUAGCUGGUCUGAGAGGAUGACCAGCCACACUGGAACUGAGACACGGUCCAGACUCCUACGGGAGGCAGCAGCGGGGAAUAUUGCACAAUGGGCGCAAGCCUGAUGCAGCCAUGCCGCGUGUGUGAAGAAGGCCUUCGGGUCGUAAAGCACUUUCAGCGGGGAGGAAGGCGUUAAGGUUAAUAACCUUGGCGAUUGACGUUACCCGCAGAAGAAGCACCGGCUAACUCCGUGCCAGCAGCCGCGGUAAUACGGAGGGUGCAAGCGUUAAUCGGAAUUACUGGGCGAAAAGCGCACGCAGGCGGUCUGUCAAGCCGGAUGUGAAAUCCCCGGGCUCAACCUGGGAACUGCAUUCGAAACUGGCAGGCUAGAGUCUUGUAGAGGGGGGUAGAAUUCCAGGUGUAGCGGUGAAAUGCGUAGAGAUCUGGAGGAAUACCGGUGGCG
rnacentral:rRNA from 1 species